rnacentral:lncRNA from 1 species
GCACUUACCAGAGCUCGGGCUCCUCCUCUCCACUCACUCUACGCUACUCCGCCCGCAUCACCUACUCCGUUUGCUAGGGGCGAGGAUAAGCGCGCGCGCCCGC